rnacentral:rRNA from 1 species
GAUGAACGCUGGCGGCGUGCUUAACACAUGCAAGUCGAACGAAGCACUUUAUUUGAUUUCCUUCGGGACUGAUUAUUUUGUGACUGAGUGGCGGACGGGUGAGUAACGCGUGGGUAACCUGCCUUGUACAGGGGGAUAACAGUUGGAAACGGCUGCUAAUACCGCAUAAGCUCACAGCAUCGCAUGAUGCAGUGUGAAAAACUCCGGUGGUAUAAGAUGGACCCGCGUUGGAUUAGCUAGUUGGUGAGGUAACGGCCCACCAAGGCGACGAUCCAUAGCCGACCUGAGAGGGUGACCGGCCACAUUGGGACUGAGACACGGCCCAAACUCCUACGGGAGGCAGCAGUGGGGAAUAUUGCACAAUGGGCGAAAGCCUGAUGCAGCGACGCCGCGUGAGCGAAGAAGUAUUUCGGUAUGUAAAGCUCUAUCAGCAGGGAAGAUAAUGACGGUACCUGACUAAGAAGCACCGGCUAAAUACGUG